rnacentral:rRNA from 1 species
AGCGAACGCUGGCGGCAGGCUUAACACAUGCAAGUCGAGCGGGCACUUCGGUGUCAGCGGCAGACGGGUGAGUAACACGUGGGAACGUGCCCUUCGGUUCGGAAUAACUCAGGGAAACUUGAGCUAAUACCGGAUACGCCCUUUUGGGGAAAGGUUUACUGCCGAAGGAUCGGCCCGCGUCUGAUUAGCUAGUUGGUGGGGUAAUGGCCUACCAAGGCGACGAUCAGUAGCUGGUCNGAGAGGAUGAUCAGCCACACUGGGACUGAGACACGGCCCAGACUCCUACGGGAGGCAGCAGUGGGGAAUAUUGGACAAUGGGCGAAAGCCUGAUCCAGCAAUGCCGCGUGAGUGAGGAAGGCCUUAGGGUUGUAAAGCUCUUUCGCACGCGACGAUGGUGACGGUAGCGUGAGAAG